AAGAAGAAGAAGGAGGGCGUCAGUUCUUCCACGCUUCCAGCGUGAACCAUUUUUUUCAAACUCCAAGAACCAAGAUUCCUCUGAUCACCUGCCUGCAUUAGUCCCCCUCCUUGAGCUCACCUGCCUGUCCGCCCUCCUACACCAUCUGCACUGGAGUAGAGAGACACUGGAUUUGCACGCGGACACCACCCUCCCUGGCUCUUGCCAAGCCUCAGCCUCUACCUGAAGACGAUCCCGCCUGACAGCACCACCCCUGUGACCCAGCACUUUGACAAUAAAC